CUGAUGGAUGUGCUGACUAGUGAGAGUGCUUGGGCCCUCCCCCAGCACCUAGGGAAAGGCUUCCCCUCCCCCUCCGGCCACAAGGUCCCUGGGUGGCACGGGAGGAUGGACUGACUUCCAGGACCUGUUGUGUGACAGGAGCUACAGCUUGGGUCUCCCUGCAAGAAGUCUGGCACGUCUCACCUCCCCCAUCCCGGCCCCUGGUCAUCUCACAGCAAAGAAGCCUCCUCCCUCCCGACCUGCCGCCACACUGGAGAGGGGGCACAGGGGCGGGGGAGGUUUCCUGUUCUGUGAAAGGCCGACUCCCUGACUCCAUUCAUGCCCCCCCCCCCAGCCCCUCCCUUCAUUCCCAUUCCCCAACCUAAAGCCUGGCCCGGCUCCCAGCUGAAUCUGGUCGGAAUCCACGGGCUGCAGAUUUUCCAAAACAAUCGUUGUAUCUUUAUUGACUUUUUUUUUUUUUUUUUUCUGAAUGCAAUGACUGUUUUUUACUCUUAAGGAAAAUAAACAUCUUUUAGAAA
rnacentral:lncRNA from 10 species